rnacentral:lncRNA from 1 species
GUUUAUGAAAAUGGCUCUCGGUAUCAACCCAGGAUGGGGCUGGAGAUCCUCCUUCAUCCCUGCACCCUUAUAUCACAGAGCUUUUCAGCCCUUCUCUAGCAUCUUUCCUUUGUAAGAGGAGACAUGUCUAGGUAGAAUGGAUUUGUUUCCCAUUUCAGGGAACAAACAAGAGUGCCCCAAAGAAGUUCUGAGAGGACUAUUAUCAGUGAUUGCCACAUUGAUUCAUUGGAUCAUAUAACCUUAGAAAAGAAAAAUGAGGCUUGAAAGGUUAAGAGAAACUUUUCAAGCAUCAGAUAGAGGUGGAAGAGUUGAAGCUAGAAUGCAGAUCUUAACCAAUCCUUCCACCACUCCAAAGAGAAACUCUUAUUAAAGAAGAAGAGGAAGAAGAAGAAGAAGGAGAAGGAGAAGAAGGAGAAGAAGGAGGAGGAGGAAAGAAAAGUAAAGAUUGUCCAGUCAUACAAUUAUUUCAUUCACUGUUGUUUGAAUAGAGCAAUUGAUAUCUUAAAUCAAUCUGAUCAACUGCACAAAAAUGGUUGGAUUAUUUAGAAGAUUUGAUUGAAAACCAGUUGUUUCAGCGGUCAUGUGUAGACCUGGACUUAAUAAAUGACCACCUUUGAGUCCCCCAGCUGAAAGAGAACAAAAGAACCCAGAGGCAAAUCAAUGGCAAAUUGCCACCCCAAACAAAUUGCAGUAUGUAAGUUCUGAAACUUGAAUUACCCUUCAAGGAUUAAAGUUCAAGACUGUGAAAAAUUAAAAAUGUUGCCUAGCCUAGGAAAUAGCAUAUGAAUCAAAAAUCUCAUUAGUAAGCUUAAUGGCACUCCUAAUCUUCUACUUU